rnacentral:ncRNA from 1 species
AAACUGAAGAGUUUGAUCAUGGCUCAGAUUGAACGCUGGCGGCAGGCUUAACACAUGCAAGUCGAGCGGAAACGAUGAUAGCUUGCUAUCAGGCGUCGAGCGGCGGACGGGUGAGUAACGCGUAGGAAUCUACCUAGUAGUGGGGGA